rnacentral:lncRNA from 1 species
UAUUAAAAUUAUGUAGAGUUAUAUUAAAAAAGAAGUGUCUGUGGUGGCUCCAGAGGAAACAGUAGUACAAGGGUGAAGAGAAAAGAUAUGUUAAUGCCUAGAGAGUGCCAGAUGUGUGAUUUCAUUCAGAUGAAGAGGAGGAACUAACCUAAAUAUAAGGUACCAGGAAAAUGGGGAACUGAACUGGAGCCAUAAAAUAUUCUGAUAAAGAAAACUUGGUGCUUGUGAGUAUUUAAGUGUGAGACUAUCAGUGAGUAAAGUCAGUCCAGUCAGAUUUAUUUUUAAAUAAAUACUGGAUUUUUUUUCCAUGAUUUUCCAACAACCAAGUUAAAAUCUUAAUUUCCAAGUGCUUGGAGGGCCACAGAAUUGACUGAAAACUGGGACAUUAUGGAAGGAGGCUGCAGGAAUUAUCCUCCAACUUGAUAAAACCUGGAGCAGCUUCAGUGGCCCUUUAGCACUUGCAGAAGGGCACAAAUAAGGCUUGAAGGGAACUCUGAUUUGGGCCAGGCAAGAAUUUAUCUGGGAUUGGAGGAAUCCUCAUGGAAUUAUCCAGCAGGACACAGUGAAGAACGUUUUAGUGGAGUUAUUGAAGGUGAUGGACCUGACUCAUAAGGGCUGAAACUUGUGUCUAGCAAGAAGUUAAACACUUGAAAUGAAAGAUUGUUUAUAGGAGUAAAGAAAAUACCUGCAGAACUUCCCUUUCAGGUGUCUGUGGGUGUGUCUGACAGUUCACACAUUUGCCAGAUUCAUCUCCAUCAAGAUGAUUAAUUACAGAGUUUUGAUGAAUUGUAGUGUGGCCAGAGAUGGUAAGUCUUGGUAAAUAUUACCAAAUUUGUGAGGGGUUUCAUUGUUAUUAGCCUAAAAGUAUUAAGAGUUCACAUU